CGGAGGAAGGCGGGGACGACGUCAAAUCAUCAUGCCCCUUAUGUCCUGGGCUACACACGUAAUACAAUGGUGGUUAACAGAGGGAUGCAAGACUGUGAAGUGGAGCAAAUCCCUAAAAGCCAUCUCAGUUCGGAUUGCAGGCUGCAACUCGCCUGCAUGAAGCUGGAAUUGCUAGUAAUCGCGGAUCAGCAUGCCGCGGUGAAUACGUUCCCGGGCCUUGUACACACCGCCCGUCACACCAUGAGAGUCGGGAACACCCGAAGUCCGUAGUCUAACCGCAAGGAGGGCGCGGCCGAAGGUGGGUCCGGUAAUUGGGGUGAAGUCGUAACAAGGUAGCCGUAUCGGAAGGUGCGGCUGGAUCACCUCCUUU
rnacentral:rRNA from 1 species